ACAAAAAAAAGCUCAUUGAAGAAAUCACACGUGCAUAUGCGCAUCAAAUAUAUGUCGAUGGGUUUUUCAAUGGCGAUCCUCAUCCUGGGAAUUUUCUUGUCAGCAAGGAACCCCCACAUCGUCCAGUUCUACUUGAUUUUGGGCUUACAAAGUCCAUAUCAACCUCCAUGAAGCAAGCUCUUGCAAAAAUGUUUCUUGCGUGUGCUGAGG
rnacentral:misc_RNA from 1 species